GAUGAACGCUGGCGGCGUGCCUACUACAUGCAAGUCGAGCGAAGCGGGGACGGGUGAGUAACACGUGGAUAACCUACUAUAAGACUGGGAUAACUUCGGGAAACCGGAGCUCAACCGGACACUUCUAGAUGGAUCAGCGCUGCAUUAGCUGGUGGGUAAGGUAACGGCUUACCAAGGCAACGAUGCAUAGCCGACCUGAGAGGGUGAGCAGCCACACUGGAACUGGGACGCGGGCCAGACUCCUACGGGAGGCAGCCGUGGGGAAUCUUCCGCAAUGGGCGAAAGCCUGACGGAGCAACGCCGCGUGAGUGAUGAAGGUCUUCGGAUCGGAAAACUCUGGUAUUAGGGAAGCGUUACCUAAUCAGAAAGCCACGGCUAACUACGUGCCAGCAGCCGCGGUAAUUC
rnacentral:rRNA from 1 species